GGAGAUUAUGGAAACUGUGAAGGAACUUGGCCAAGUUUAUAACUACAUGUGAUAAUCUGGAGACGGGUCUUCCUUUGUGAAAGGAGAGUUUAAGAGCAAUUACAUGAUUUGUUCUUGAUAUAGAUUGAUAGUAGUGCAUAAGCUGUAAAUAGUGUUGAAAGGUAAAUGGACUGUCAGAAGCUUGUUAGCGUAUCUAAAUGCCUUUGGGUAUGGUAAGGUUGAUCAUAUCCUUUCAUGGGAAAGGUUAGGCUGGAAAUGAUUCAAGUUGUGGUCAUCACUUAUAGGCAAAGUCCCUGUUUUACUGAAAGCCUCUAUUAUAAUGAAAAGUUGGAGUGGAAAAUGUAGGUUUACUGCACUGGAACCGUUAUAGCAGUACAUGGCUCAGGGCUUGGAUAAAUCGACUCCAGAUGCUUUUAUCUGGAAGCACUGGAUCCAAAUGCGGUUUGAGGGGAAGCUGGUUAAUGACCUGCUUAUUGCCAUUGGAGAGUUCCAUAAGGAAGCAGCACAGUUGAUGCCAGCAGGUAUGCUCUUGGCAUUCCUCAGAGGCUAAAGAACUGGAUGGAGUUCUGGAUUAUCCAUGUAUGCUUUGGUUCUACGUGUGAACCUCCGAGGAGGGUAGCAGUUGUGUGUGUUGUCUAUAACACCAGCUAUACAGCUUAGGGGUAGAGGUCUACAAGCCAGCAUCUUCCCCAAGCACAGAUCCUCGAGGUAACAUAUUGCUGCUGUCUCCUUUGCUUCCGCAUGCUUGAACUCAAUUUGUUAGCAGUGAACUCCAGAUACUUGCUGUGACCCAAAUUCAGUGCUCUGCUUCCGAGUAUCUAUAGCCACAGACUUGCUUAAGCUGCCGUCAGUGUAUCAGUUGAGUAUCCUGAAAUCUUAAUUUAUACUUGGUGCCAGACAGAGGUACGUGAUGAUUUGGCUUCCAGCUGUUUGCUAUAUGUCAGCACAGCUUUUACUUACUACCUGGAGACUGUAACUACUUGAGUGCUGUCAGAAAUCACUUGACUCUGUUCAGCUCUAGUGUGACAUCUCAAUUCAUCCCUGGGAAAAGUGAUGUGAGUGAACAGCUCAGAACUGGCUCUACCAGGUUAAAUGUUUGGUUUUGCUACUAAUUUAGAAGGAUAAAGCUAUCACUAGCAUAGAUGCUGACCAGCAUGAUGCUCUAAGCGUGGCCCCUUGGGUAUUCGCCUCUAUUUUGACUUUCUCUUCCCUGUGCGACUAUUCACUGCUAUUAAAAUGCUAUUCAGACUUCCCUAAGGUUAAUGGAGUACCACUGAAGAAUUAAAGGUUAGAGCUGUGUUAUGAUUGUUGAGGCAUCAGUUUAUCCAUGUGGCAUCAUGCUCCAGCUGCCCCCUUUGCAAAACUCCUUACUGCUGCCUCUGAAACAGAGAGGAUCCUUGGGAUUCACGUUGUUCUCCCCAAGGGCUCUUCCUCCUCCAGGAUAAAGAUGGGCAAGUGUGGGAGCUGAUUUCCCACAGCAGCACUUGUUGCCCCUCCAUGAUCCCACAUUCCCAUAUCACAGCAUUUCCCCCUGUCUCAGCAGGGUGUAUUUUGCUUUGCCCCAGGAGUGUGGUAGCUGUUUGACAGAGAAAAAGGUGAUGAUAUCAGCCCUAGGGUUCUGCCACUUGCUUUCACCAUCCCAAAUCUUCCACCAAUGGAAGCAAACAGCUUGUAGUUGAGGUGUUUGGGUUAUUUCUGCAGUGUAGCAAUGGGAAUGGGAAGAGAAAUAGGCUUGGGGAUAAUGUGGUGGCUCAUAGGAGUAUGUGUUUAAGAUGUGGUCUGUCUUGUGGAAAGACUUACCAAGUAGUUCUGCUGCUCAGAGUUUACUUUUGCAGCAAGCUGGAUUCUUUGGCUCUUUCUCAAAUGGAAGUGAUGCAACACCAGGAUCUAGUCCUGGAGCUUCACCUCGAGCUUUUGCCCUUUCUCACCCCAAAGACACCAGAGAGAAUAAUGCAAUUCUUUUCCCCUCCUCAAUGCCUUUUGUAACAGUGGCAAAGCAGCCCGCUGGGUUUAACACUGCUCAAACGCAGUGGUGGCCGAGCAGCACAAUCAGCUAUCAGAGCAGGUCUUAAGAGACUCUUAAAACCUUUUCUGCUGGAAGCUGCCAGGGAGAUUAAGGGAGAUUAGCUGCUUUUUAAUUACUGUGAUGGUGGGGAGGCCGGACCACAACAGUGGCUCAGUGGUUGCAGUCUGCUCCUCGUCCCAAAUACCAAUAGACAGGUUUUUCUCCCUAAUGGUGACAAAAUACACUUUAAAUAUCCUGACUUUGUAACUGGCUCCCAAAGGAUCCAGUCAAUUAUUUUGAGUUUUGCUUAAAUAAAAGACUCUGAACGGGGUCUGCUCAUUGAAGGAGACACUUUGAGGCUGAAAAGUGAUUUUCUUCUUGGAUGUUUCAACCCAAAACUCAGCUUUUAAAAGGAGCGAAAGGCUCUUAUCAACUUUCGGUGCAAGUCAGUGACUUCAGUGCAUAUAGUCCGGUCUGAACAGCAGAUGAUGCUUCUGCCUCUACUUGCCCUGCAGUCAAAAGGUGACAGCCUGAUUUCCUUCCCCAAGCAGUGCGGAGACCUCCCAUGCUUGAGAAGACUUUUAGCUGUCCAUGGAGGAGAGAACUUGUGUUGCUGAGUCAUUUUCCCCUCUUAUCUGCCACUGUAAUUGGGAAGGCAAAGGAGCAGUGGAGGCUGAGUAUUGCCUUCAUCUCUCCCUCAUCAUUCCUCUCCUUCCUCCCGUCUCCCUCCCCUUGAUGUUUUGAUGUGCAAAACACUUUUCACUUCAGAAGCUGCUGUGUUGGGUAAUGGAAAAGAAAACAAACCCCUUGUAGCUUGUUACUCUUCACUAAAGCUGUAUUUUCUGCUCUGUCUUCCAGCUCACGCUCCUCCACAGCAGGAAAUGAGAGGAUGCUGGAAAGACCUUUAGGAAGAGAAAAGAGCUUAAUUACACAAAUAAACCCGUUUGUAGGAGUUUCUUGAGCCUUGGAGGCCCUGACCUUGGGGACCACUUUGCCAGGGUAGAAAGUUAGAGCCUGUUGGUUUGUUCUCAGUUAAUGGGAGAUGAUGUUCCAUCCCUGUGGGCUGGGGUGAUGUGCAUCUCGGAUGCAGCGCGCCUCAUUUAGAAGCAUUGAGCCUCAGUCAGUGUUUGAAUAUUAGACUUUCAAACUGCUGAAAUAACUUCUCUUUUAGAUGAUAGCAUAGACAGGAUCUGGAUAGCUUGUGGUUAAACACCAAUAUCUGGCUGGCUGGACACCAUCACCCGGUUAGGGGUGGUUUUUCAAGCUGUUUCUAUGAGCUGUUACCUCUGCUCUUACCAUAACAUUGUGUUGUGUGGUGUUUGUCUGGACCUUUAAUGUUCAUUAUCUCAUCCUCUACACCCUCAUGUGGUCCCAAAAGCUGGUUAUCCCUGUGUAGUGCUUGGAGUUGUGAGUGUCCAACCUUUGUCCACACUUUGGCCUUUGUUUCCUGUUUUGGCAUCCAACGUUGAAGCAUCCCUCCAGCGAUCCCAGACUCUGGUGUCCGUCUGAAUUCCCUUUGGUGUGUGUCCUGCAGUUGUUGUCUUGGAUACCUGACCACAGGAACGCUGAACUGAGGGGUGCAGACAGCCCUGGGCUGGAAAGGAGCAUCCAUGGGGAACGCUGUGACCUGCACAUGUGUUUUUAUAGGCAAGUCAAAUACUGACUAGACUAAAGCCCGUGGUGGUUACAGGCAUCGUUCCUGGCCUCUGGUGAUUCCCCAUCCUGCUCUUUCCACUACAGAUAAAUGGAUGAUCUUUGUUCAGCCUGGAGUGUGAUAUUUUCUUCCUUGGUACAAAUCAUCUCUGAUGGUUUCUGGGUUGAUGUGUAAGCCCCAUGCUGUACAUAAAUGGAUGAGUGACAUGAGGACUAUUACAAAUGUAGUUAUGUUGUAUGUAAUGUACAUAAGGAGAGAAUGUAUUUUGUUCAUUUUUUUUUCUUAAUAAAAAUGUACAUG
rnacentral:lncRNA from 1 species